rnacentral:rRNA from 1 species
AUGGCUCAGGAUGAACGCUAGCUACAGGCUUAACACAUGCAAGUCGAGGGGCAUCAUGGAGUUGCUGCAAACUCUGAUGGCGACCGGCGCACGGGUGAGUAACGCGUAUCCAACCUUCCCUAUAGUAGAGGAUAGCCCGGCGAAAGUCGGAUUAAUACUCUAUGUUUUCCGUUGCAGACAUCUAAGAUGGAACAAAGGCUUGCCGCUAUAGGAUGGGGAUGCGUCUGAUUAGGUAGUCGGCGGGGUAACGGCCCACCGAGCCAUCGAUCAGUAGGGGUUCUGAGAGGAAGGUCCCCCACAUUGGAACUGAGACACGGUCCAAACUCCUACGGGAGGCAGCAGUGAGGAAUAUUGGUCAAUGGGCGAGAGCCUGAACCAGCCAAGUAAGCGUGCAGGACGACGGCCCUAUGGGUUGUAAACUGCUUUUAUGCGGGGAUAAAGUUCACUACGUGUAGUGUUUUGUAGGUACCGCAUGAAUAAGGACCGGCUAAUUCCGUGCCAGCCGCGGC